UCACUUUUACCACAUUCUUUUGGUCACAAGGAGAGGGAAUUACACAUCACCUGAUUUUGGAUGCAUGUGUGAGGUAUGCUACUGUACUCACAAGACAUCUGAAACUAUACCCAGAUCAUCUAGAAGUGAACAUGUUCCAGGUGAUGUCCCUAUGUAAACCAAGGGUUGGUUUUCAGUGGGUAGAAAAUGCCCUUCAAACACUGACCCUGUCAUAUUGCAGAUGCCUUCAGCUCUGAAGGCUGGGAAAUUUAAAGUCAAGGACCACCAGGUUUGGUGUCUGGUGAAGGCUGCUCUCUUUGCCUUUGAGAUGAUGUCCUGUUUCUGUGUCCUCCUGAGGGAAUGAACACUGUGUCCUCACAUGGUUGGCAGAAUCAGAAGUGGAAAAGGGGCUUAAGCUAGCUCCCUCCAGCCCAUUCAUAAGGCAUGUAAUCAUUUAUCUAAAAGGCUCA
rnacentral:lncRNA from 1 species